rnacentral:lncRNA from 1 species
UGUUUCCUUCUUGAUCCUUCACAAGGGAAGAUUUUCUUUUUUAGAGGUACAGAUUCCUCUUAGUCAAGUCCUGAUUAAAACUCCAGCUAAGACAUUAGUAAGCCUUGGUUAGUGAAGUGGCAUCAGGAAGUGCCUACAUUUUCAUGGCCUGGUAGCGUUCAGUGAAAAUGUUCAUUAACAGACACAGGCCAUUCAGUCCCGAAUCCCAAGACACUGAAGACUCUGUUUGAAUCAGACUCACGGGUUCCUUCCUAGCCACUCUCAGGGACAGGAAUGCUUCUGGGUGAAGAAGUUUUCGGUGGUGGUUCAUGGAGCUUCCCUACACCAACUUGGAAAUGGCAUUCAUUUUAUUGGCUUUUGUUAUCUUUUCCUUAUUUACCCUGGCUUCCAUCUACACUACUCCGGAUGACAGUAAUGAAGGAGGAAGAACAUGAAAAAAAGGGAAGGGAAAAGAAAAGGAAAAAGUCUGAAAAGAAGAAAAAUUGCUCAGAGGAAGAGCACAGAAUUGAAGCUGUUGAGCUAUGAUCUCAUAGCCACCGAUAUUUCUCGCUAAGAAGACAGAGGAAGCAAUCCAUGGGAACUACUUAUCCACAGUUACACAAGAGGAGGGGAUAAUGAAGAAAGUUAAAAUCACUUACUGAUUAAACACGAUGAUAAUAACCAUUAAUGAACUCAAUACUCGGGAAAGGCUUCACAUUUCUGGGACUCAGCAUUAUCCAAAAUAUCUAUUAAGAGCCAUACACCAUUCUAGCUGCAAUUGAUUAUACAAAAAAAAAAAGACCAAAGUGGUUACAAUAAUAAAAUAGAACACAGAGAAAGAAGAAAACUACAUGUGUUACAAUUUGGUAAGAUAAACAAACAAACAAAAAAUUUAAUCACUUUUUUUGGUCCUGCGACACACAUGAUAAUUUUUGUCUUAAUUCUCCUAACAAAUGAUAAUGAAAAGCUAUAAGUAACUGUGUUAUUGCUUCCGUAUCUGAAAUAGGUGAAAGAGGGAAAAAACACUAUAUAUUUUUUCAGCUUUACAGAAGAAAUUUUGAAAGGUUUACAUUCAAUGGAAAUAUUAGCAUUGCCUCAGUAAGCUUUAAAACACAAAUGUCUACGUUUUCUGAAGCAAUAUGGUUUACAGAGACAUGAGUGUUUGUAAAUCUCUCGUCCCAAUACUAUGUAAAUCCUUAAUGUGUAAGCAUCCAGGAAAAUUUGUCAUUCUGUGUCCUUUAUUCAUCCUAAAAGUUGAAAGUUUUCUGUUAUUUAUAUUUUUUUUUUUUUAAUUUGAGAGAGAGGCUGGGUGCAGUGGCUCACGCCUGUAAUCCCAGCACUUUGGGAGGCCGAGGUGGGCAGAUCACGAGGUCAGGAGAUUGAGACCAUCCUAGCUAACACAGUGAAACCCCGUCUCUACUAAAAAUACAAAAAAUUAGCCGAGCGUGGUGGCGGGCGCCUAUAGUCCCAUCUUCUCGGGAAGCUGAGGCAGGAGAAUGGUGUGAACCCGGGAGGCGGAGGUUGCAAUGAGCUGAGAUCAUGCCACUGCACUCCAGCCUGGGCGACAGAGCAAGACUCUGUCUCAAAAGAAAAAAAACAAAGAGAGAGAGAGGGUCUCGCUUUGUCACCGAGGCUGGAGUGCAGUGGUGUAAUCAUAGCUCACUGCAACCUUAAGUUCCUGGGCUCAGGUGAUCCUCUUGCUUCAGCCUCCCAAGUAACUGUGACUACAAGCAUGUGUCAUCACAGCCAGCUAAUUUUUGUAAUUGUUUGUAGAACCAAGGCCUCUCUAUGUUGCCUAGGCUGGUCUCCAAAUCCUGGACUCAAGCGAUCCUCUGCCUUAGCCUCCCAAAGCACUGGGAUUACACGCAUGAGCCACCAUGCCUGGCCUGUUAUUUAUAACUCUUACAAACAUUAAACCAUCACAAUCAAUGCUGGCAGCAUUAUCGUGGCAGGAAGGAAUCCACAAUACAACCAAAGAUACCUACCUGCAUCUCAUAAGAAUCAUAGCUCAGGUCUCCAUUGCCACAGAGUUUCAGUCAUGUGAGAGACUCCCUUUAUCUGUACUUACCCCUUACUGCUCACUUUCAAGAAAGAUUCAAUAAAGAUGGCUUUCUGCCAUACAGAGAUAGGCAUACUAGUGUAAACAGAAUGCUUACAAAGUUAACCAAGUAGUCACCCAGGUCAGAGUACUAAACAUUUAAAAGGGCUCACUAAGUUAGAGAGGACAGAGAAUGGGCUUUGGAGAUGAGCAGAUCUGGGUUUGAGUCUGCUCCAACCUUUCCUUAUUAUAUGACCUUGGGCAAAGUACUUAAUUUCUCUGAGCCUUGGUGUUCUCUCUGAAAAAAUGAGCAUUUUAAAAAAUCUUUGCUGGGCUGACAAAUGGAUGAGAGAUAGUAUAAGUAAAAUGUGUAACUCAGUGCCUAGGAUCGUUGCUGAAUAACGCUACCUAUUAUUAUUGGAAAGCAUUUUGGGACAUUUGGACUUUUAAGUUUACUGAUACGUUUUUUCAGAAAAGCAGAAAAAUCAACAACAUGGUUUCAAAUACUUGGAUGAGGCUCCAUUCACUCCCUUAGCCCAUCUUACAUAUAUUACUGCAUUGACUGGAAAUGGGAGGCACUUCACAAUUAGGAAUAUUGUCAGGUCAGCCAGGCGCCGUGGGCAUGCUUAUAGUCCAAGCUACUCACAAGGCUGAGGCAGGAGGAUCGCUUGAGCCUGGGAGUUUGAGGCUGCAGUGAGCUCCAGCCUGGGUGAAAGAGAAGACCCUAUCUCAAAAAAUAAAAAAUUUUAAAAACCUGUCAAGUUAGAUGUUAAAGAGGACAUGUAAAAUAAAAUCUCCCUAACAUGUUUAUGAAAUAGCUGCAAAAGGCUGAGCGUGGUGGCUCACGUCUGAAAUCCCAGCACUUUGUGAAGCCGAGGUGGGUGGAUCACCUGAGGUCAAGAGUUAGAGACCAGCCUGGCCAAGAUGGUGAAACCUCCUCUCUACUAAAAAUACAAAAAUUAGCCAGGCGUGGUGGUCCAUGCCUGUAAUCCUAGCUACUCAGGAGGCUGAGGCAGGAGAAUCACUUGAACCUGGGAGGCGGAGGUUGUAGUGAGCCAAGAUUGCGCCAUUGCUCUCCAGCCUGGGGAGCAAAUGCAAAACUCCAUUUC